rnacentral:rRNA from 1 species
GUCUACAGCCAUUCCACCCUGAACAAGCCCGAUCCCGGCUGAUCUCGGAAGCUAAGCAGGGUUGGGCCUGGUUAGUACUUGGAUGGGAGACCACCUAGGAAAACCAGGUGCUGUAGGUA